rnacentral:rRNA from 1 species
GACGAACCGUGCAAACGUUGUUCGGAAUCACUGGGCUUAAAGGGCGCGUAGGCGGGCCAUCAAGUCAGGGGUGAAAUCCUCCAGCUUAACUGGAGAACAGCCUCUGAUACUGGUGGUCUCGAGUGAGGUAGGGGCAUGCGGAACUGAUGGUGGAGCGGUGAAAUGUAUUGAUAUCAUCAGGAACUCCGGUGGCGAAAGCGGCGUGCUGGACCUCUACUGACGCUGAGGCGCGAAAGCCAGGGGAGCGAACGGG